CAAAUACCGAAACCUUCUCUCUCUCUCUCGACAGACCCGAUCGAAACAGGCCAAAGCCCUUUCUCGACUCGCCUCUCUCUCAAUAGAUGACCCAAAACCAAAACCCUAGCUAGCUCACUCUCUGGCCAAAAUGUCACUCUCCCAAACCAAUAGUGUGAUGGUAGACCGCGAACGGGAUUGAGACGUUGAACUGAGAUCGAUUUUAUUCAGCUCGACUCGAUUCCCUUGGAGCGAAGCUGUUGGAGAAAUCUGGUAAGACUCAGAACCAGGAGCGAAAACUCAGAACUCGGAGCUGACAAAGCCGGCCGAGCGUGUUGGUGAAGUGAAUACACAUAUGCAAGACCGAAUUGUUCGCGCGCCUCCAUUUUUUUCCCACAUUGAAUGCGAUUUCAGUGUUUUAUGAUGAGGACCCAAAUUUGUGGAUGGGUUUCUGGGUUUCCUCAAUCAUCAUAAGCCUCCCGAGCCGCGGAUCCGACGAGUUCAGGCCCUUCGUUCGACCUCUCCUCGAGUUUAAAUUCUGGUAGUUUUGACUUGUUCUUCCCCAUGAACAUCUUCUCCAACCCAAUGCCAAAGAGACUUUCGGGAAAGCAAGAGAGAAAUGGCUAAUGGUACUAGAGGUUUGUUAGCCUUGACGUUCGUUGUUGGUUUCAUAGAGCAGCGAGUACCUCCCUCUCCUUGCAGUGGAAGGAUAACAGGUUGGUGCCUCCCGAAUCCACCAUGACUUGCUAGACUCUGCCAAUUGGACCUUAAUUUUUGUGUUUGGCUUCAUUGACAGUUCCCCUGCUAAGCAGACGUAUGAGGCAAUCACUCAUAAAUCAUGCAGAAAGGGGAAACGUUAACCAUGUACGGAAAUACAGGACCACCCUUAGGAUUUCAGCUCCAUACACCCUGUUAUUGGAAUUACAUGUUGUAUGAAUUCAGACCAUUCUUGCCUUGGAAAGAGCUUUUCCAUGGAGAUUGGCUUAAUUUUAAUGCUCAAGCAUUUUUGCAGAAUGGCAUGAUUGGGACAAAUUAAAUAACAUGAUAUCCUUUCAGCUGAAGCAGAUUCUGUCAAAGUAUCCUGAUGCAGAAAAGACUAGUGAGCAGCAAAUUACUACUUUAGGAGAAACCUACCUAGAACUGGUGAAGAGGUUGGAUGAAGAUUCUCAUGGCACAAAGAGCAAAGUAAAUGACAACAAGUGCAAAGAAUGGAAAGAUAUUGUUGACACUGCUAUAUCAAUGUUUAAAGGGGAACGCAACAAGAAAGGACGGAGCUCUGUUCAAUGGAAGAACAUGGCAGGUAUUCCAUAACAGCCAAACGACAAACAGUGCGGCUAUUUUGUGAUGAGAUAUAUGAGGGAUAUCAUCCAUGAUACAAACUUGUCAUUUGCAGAUAAGUGGGCUAGGAGAGCCAAUCAUGUUUAUGGUCAAGUGGAAAUUGAUGAAGUGCGUAAUGAGCUUGCGAGUUAUGUGUUGAAAAACAUCCUCAAGCUGUAAAGUAUGCAGUUGCUCAAGCCCUAGAAGCUGUGAAGUGAAAUAGGCUAGAAAUGUAUUUUUGUGCUCCAAAGUGACAAUCUAAAGUGCAUUUCUUCACUUAUUUUGCUAGUGGAGUAGCUAGUAUAGAUGUGCUCCAUAUUUUGGUGUUGGAGUAGUAUAGUGCUCCUUUUUGGCAAUAUUGUCUAAUACAUUUCAGUACAAUUAUGUGGAUUAUAACAAUAUUAGAUAUAUAUUGGUAAUUACUGUUCA